CAAACCCGCGAAACCCUGGGCUGCCGAAGCCGAGGGCACGAACUCAACCACUCGGCCAUGGGGCCAGCCCUACCACCAAAGGAUUUUAAAGAGGGAGAUAACUUCUGGUAAUGUUUGCCCAUUUUUUGUUCGACCACUUAUAUACUAGAUGUGGAAUGAUAGAUGAAGCAGCGCCUGGUAUACUACAUGACAAACCAAAAGUGGGACCAUAGUUGCUGUCUGAUACAUAUAUUCUCUUUGUGUAAAAUAUUAGGUAUUUUUAAAUUACUCCUCCAGAUUUCCCUGGGAGCUCUCAUUAGGACUUGCCUGAAUUUUUUUUAACAGGACUAAAUUGCAUCUAAAUUUUAAAAAUCUAGACGAAAUAUUCAGGAGGGAUAAUACAAAGAGUCAGGAAUUUGGACUUUGUUGAGAUAUUGAAAGUUUGUAGUUUGUUAACAGGUCGGUCAUAGCCAUUCAUGUUUCCACAAACUGUAGGCAUCUACAAACGGGUUUGACUGCACCAUUUUCUUCAAAGUGGUGUACUAAAAGAUCCUUCAGUUAGUUAGUUAUCUCUGGUUCUCUCUGCUGUGCGCUUAGAGCCGCAUUCCAUUAAGAGCCUGAUAGGCCAUUGCCACUAGUUUUGCCCUUUGGAGUGUCAGCCUAAUUUACACUUCCUUGUUUUCUAGGAAGGAAGUCCUCUUGGCAGGGAUGGGCCCUGGGAUGUCAUAUUUGUUCUGCAAACACCGUUUUCCUGGACAUAGCAGAUGAAGCAACCAGAGUAUGCCAUGGGAUGUGGGACCAAGAGACUGACUGUGUGUCAAUCUCUUACACAUCUGUAAGUUCAGGGCUGAAGGCAGCCAUGUUUCUCCUCAUGUGCACAGAGAAUCGUGGGGAGCCGAUCUGUGGAGAGAGAAGGAAAUGUGCAGAGACUGAAUCCAGACAGCCUUUUAUCUCCUGUUCUCUGGUCUCUGAAACUCCCCAUAUCCCUAUGAGGAAGCCUCCAGGAUUCCUCACUGGAAAACAUCUAUUUUGACCGUGUAUUCAGAAAGCUGCAAAGGAAAGUCAAGUUUACUCAUAUUCACUGAACAUCUGCUACUGGCCUCAACUUUCAAAGAGCAUCUGAUACAGCAGCAGAAGUGUCAAGAGGCAUUGGUUCAAUAGUGAUGGGCUAACAAAAGCCAACCUGACGUAAUUGGCCAAGAACUUUUGUAGCUUGUGAGUCACCUCAGUAGGGAUGGAACAAGAGGAGAAUUAUAGUGAAACAAAAAUGCACUGAUUCAGCUGAAGCUCUCAUGAACAUCGGGAAUUUUCCUUUCUGGCUCACUUAACUUGGUAACUUCCACUGCCGUUGUCCAUUAACACUAUUGAACCAGGGGUUUGUUAAAGUGAGUGCUUACUUGGUUUUCGUAACUCAAAUUCUUUUUUUUUUUUCUUCUCCCCAAAGCUCC